UAGGGAAUUGUUCGCAAUGGGCGCAAGCCUGACGACGCAACGCCGCGUGGAGGAUGAAGGGCUUCGGCUCGUAAACUCCUUUCGACCGAGAUGAAUACCCGCAGGGCCAAUACCCUUGCGGACUGACAGUAUCGAGGGAAGAAGCCCCGGCUAACUCCGUGCCAGCAGCCGCGGUAAUACGGGGGGGGCAAGCGUUGUUCGGAAUUACUGGGCGUAAAGCGUGCGCAGGCGGUUGUGCAAGACAGAUGUGAAAUCCCCGGGCUCAACCUGGGAAUUGCAUUUGUGACUGCACGGCUAGAGUGUGUCAGAGGGGGGUAGAAUUCCACGUGUAGCAGUGAAAUGCGUAGAGAUGUGGAGGAAUACCGAUGGCGAAGGCAGCCCCCUGGGAUAACACUGACGCUCAUGCACGAAAGCGUGGGGAGCAAA
rnacentral:rRNA from 1 species